rnacentral:misc_RNA from 1 species
GUAGGUGAACCUGCGGAAGGAUCAUUAGAAAAAUUCAGUUAACUGGGCAAAGAAGCGGCUGGGAGGGGGAAUCGUGGAGAAAAUAGCUGAGAAAAUAGCUCUCCCAUCAAAAGAUGUCCCCGGGGGGGGUUGGAUAAAGGUGGAUGGCGAGAGGGGAACCUCGUCGACCCUUCCACAUAAAACCUGUUUUUGUUCGCCCCCCUUACAAAUAUCUCUUUACAGCACGCCGGCAUGCUCCGUCCUAUUUUCU